rnacentral:ncRNA from 2 species
CUGAACAUAGUGAGAGAGCAUGCAAAAAGCAUCACCGAAGGGGCAAGUGUUGCGACACGAAACUCUCAGGUAAACGGAUUACUAUGGGACA